rnacentral:rRNA from 1 species
ACAAUUUAUCUGCCACCGAAUUACAUUAGCAUGGGAUAAUGGAAUAGGACCCUGUCCUCCUAUUUUCAGUUGGUUUUGGCAGCGCGAGGAAAGGGUAUGAUUAAUAGGGAUAGUUGGGGGCAUUAAUAUUUAAUUGUCAGAGGUGAAAUUCUUGGAUUUAUGAAAGAUUAACUUCUGCUAAAGCAUCUGCCAAGGAUGUUUUCAUUAAUCAAGAACGAAAGUUAGGGGAUCGAAGACGAUCCCAUACCGUCGUAGUCUUAACCUUAAACGAUGCCGACCAGCGAUUAGGAGACGUUGAAUACAAAGGACCACCAUCGGCGCGGUCGUCCCUGGCUCGUGUUCACGCGACGGCGGGCGAGGGCGGCUUAGCCCGAUGGCACCGGUGAAUGACUCCCUAACCGCUUGGGAAAA